UCCGGCGGUGCAGGAUGAGCCCGCGGCCUAUCAGCUUGUUGGUGAGGUAGUGGCUCACCAAGGCGACGACGGGUAGCCGGCCUGAGAGGGCGACCGGCCACACUGGGACUGAGACACGGCCCAGACUCCUACGGGAGGCAGCAGUGGGGAAUAUUGCACAAUGGGCGAAAGCCUGAUGCAGCGACGCCGCGUGAGGGAUGACGGCCUUCGGGUUGUAAACCUCUUUCAGCAGGGAAGAAGCGAAAGUGACGGUACCUGCAGAAGAAGCGCCGGCUAACUACGUGCCAGCAGCCGCGGUAAUACGUAGGGCGCAAGCGUUGUCCGGAAUUAUUGGGCGUAAAGAGCUCGUAGGCGGCUUGUCACGUCGGUUGUGAAAGCCCGGGGCUUAACCCCGGGUCUGCAGUCGAUACGGGCAGGCUAGAGUUCGGUAGGGGAGAUCGGAAUUCCUGGUGUAGCGGUGAAAUGCGCAGAUAUCAGGAGGAACACCGGUGGCGAAGGCGGAUCUCUGGGCCGAUACUGACGCUGAGGAGCGAAAGCGUGGGGAGCGAACAGGAUUAGAUACCCCUGGUAGUCCACGCCGUAAACGGUGGGCACUAGGGUGUGGGGCAACAUUCCACGUUGUCCGUGCCGCAGCUAACGCAUUAAGUGCCCCGCCUGGGGGAGUACGGCCGCAAGGCUAAAACUCAAAGGAAUUGACGGGGGGCCCGCACAAGCGGCGGA
rnacentral:rRNA from 1 species